AACUAAGUAAUCUUAACAGAAUGCAAUUUCAAUCACAUAUAUAAAGAAGAAAACGAUAAUUUAACUAAUUUUUAACAGAUUUACAUGAUGAUAACACUAAUAUAACAUUCAUCUUGAAACAAAAUCAGAUCUAAUAUGUUCCAUCAACCAAACCGGGAUCAAAUCCUUCUUAUUAUCAUCAAGAAUCUGCAAUAUAAUAAUUUGAAAGUUACCUGGUUUGUGGAAUAAUAAAAUACAGCAGUGCAGCAACAAAAAAACCUCAGCAGCAAAUACAGUAGAAACAACAACAACUCAAGUGUUAAGAAAACUCAGAAAACUCAACAAAGAUGCUUGAAACUGGUAGCUAUCAACUUCACAAAUUGCCUGAGGGUUCUUUCUAUUUUUCUCGAGGUUUUUGCACUCAAAAAUCCUCACAAAACUCUGAAAUUUCACCUUGUUAUAUGUAUUAAGCUGCUGAUUUUUCUCAAAGAUAUAUGUCUUUAAGCAACUCUCCAAGAUAUGUCUCAGUAUAAGAUAGAGUGUGUAAUAGAGUGUCCCCUUUUUCAGUGAGUAGGCGUCUGCAUUCUAAGUGUAAGAGAGUCCCUUUUAUAGGAGAAAAGCAGCCCUUUCAAUAGGCAAAUAAAGUUAGAUUUUUUGGACAGAUUUUGGUUCACAAAACAUCUGUCCAAAAGACUGACUUUGUGUGCUAAUCACUGUUCAAGGUCUGUCCCAAAGAUGAAAGGAUAACCUGAAAAUCUGCUGUGUCAGAAGUAAUGAGAAAAAAUGUCCUUUCAGCUACCAUACUAGUAAAAGUAAGCUACUAUUACCCUAUUUUGUGAUAAAAUAAACUAAACUUUAGAUUUUAACUAUCAACAACAAACUACUUGCUCAACACAAAUCAAACUUGGACAACUAUGAACUGACAAAGCAUAGACGAGACUAAAAACAUAAUUGAACUAAGUAUUAAAACCAACUUGAUGGGAAUGAAUUCGAUUUGUGCAAAAUAAUUACUAAACAAACAACUAAAUUCACAAACUAAUGCUCAAAACAGAACGAGCAUCGUUAACAAUCGGACAACGACUAACAACAACUAAAUAAUCGACUAACUAAGUGAACGAUUUAACUAAUACACUAAAGAUCAUGUUUAAAUCAAUAACGAAUCUAACAAACCACUAAACUAAAUAGAGAUAGCUAAUUAAAUAAACCUAACUUGAAACUCUAAUUAAUAAGGAAUAACCAAAAAAGAAAAAUAAAUAAAUAAAUAAAAAUCAGAAACUAAUCUACUAAAUAAAAAAAAGUCAGAAAUUAAUUAAAGAGAUGACGAUUAUACCUAACAAGUAUGCUUGAAGUCAUUCGAGCCACGAGAAGAUGCCGGAGAUGCUAAAAGGCGACUACCCGACUCUGAAACGCAUGUUUCUUUCGGGUAGAUGCUAGAACGAAA
rnacentral:lncRNA from 1 species